rnacentral:lncRNA from 1 species
GAAAAUGACAGGAAAAGUCAAUUGUGAUAUUAAUAGUGGUCCUGGAAGAAAUGGUGCUGGUGGUAGUUGUGGUACAGGUGGAGUACGAAUUCUGGCUCUCCUGUCCCUCACUAACUCUACCAUCUGAAGAAAACUGAUUAAUAUCCCUGAAUGUCACCUUCCCCAUUUGUGAAAUGAAGAUAUAAAAGCCUACUUGCAGAGUCACGCUGAGGAUUAAAUGAGAUAACAACUAUGCCCUUGCCUAACACCGUACCUGUUGUUAAGUUGGUAAUAAAUUAAUUUCAAUCACUAUAAUGUUAUAACCUCUGUUCCUUGGACAAUUCCAUUUCACUCUUCAUUUCUUGA